rnacentral:rRNA from 1 species
GACGAACGCUGGCGGCGUGCCUAACACAUGCAAGUCGAACGAGGUCCAAGGGAGCUUGCUCCCUGACGACCUAGUGGCGAACGGGUGAGUAACACGUGAGAAACCUGCCUCGGAGUGGGGAAUAACUCGGGGAAACUCGAGCUAAUACCGCAUACCUUCACAUGAUCGCAUGGUCGAGUGAAGAAAGAAUUUCGCUCUGAGAGGGUCUCGCGGCCUAUCAGCUAGUUGGUGGGGUAACGGCCUACCAAGGCAACGACGGGUAGCUGGUUUGAGAGAACGAUCAGCCACACUGGGACUGAGACACGGCCCAGACUCCUACGGGAGGCAGCAGUGGGGAAUCUUGCGCAAUGGGCGAAAGCCUGACGCAGCAACGCCGCGUGCGGGAUGACGGCCUUCGUGGUUGUAAACCGCUUUCAGCAGGGACGAAAUUGACGGUACCUGCAGAAGAAGCCCCGGCUAACUACGUGCCAGCCGCCGCAGUAAUAC